rnacentral:lncRNA from 1 species
CCUUGUUGUGUGAACGUCACAGAGUGACUUACACAAACCUAGAUUGUACAGCCUGCUACACACCUAGGCUAUGUGGUGUAGUCUGUUGCUCCCAGGUUACAAACUUGCACAGUACGUCUUUGUCCUGAAUACUGCAAGCAGUUGUAACACAAUCUUAUUCAAAGAAAAAUGACUUUAGCUUGGCAUGUGAGAAAGGUCAGGACAUUACACUGUUGGAAAUGUCUAUAUGCUUGAAAAGAACCGAGAGUCCUCUGAAUACGUAGCUCCCCCAGCGUCUUCACAGUGGGGUGUUUCACCCAUUUCGUGGAGUCCAAAUUCUGGAACUGGGAAGUUCAAGGCUGAGGAGCUGCAUCUGGUGAGGGUCUUCUUGCUGGUGGCCUUCUUCUGCAGAGUCCUGAGGUGCUGCAGGGGAUCUUGUGGCAGAGUACUGCUGUGACAAACCACCACAAACCGUGUGGCCAACAACACAGAAAUUCAUCCUCUCAUGGCUCUGGGGGCCAGAAGUCCAAUGUCAAGGUGUCAGGUAGGCCGUGCCCCUCCACAAGCUCCGGGGAGGAUCUCCCCUUUUCUCUUCCGGCUUCUAGUGGCCCCGGGUGCUCCUUGGCUUGUGGCUGCAUCAGUCUGUUCUCUGCCUCCAUCUUCCCAAGCCCUCUCUCCUCUCACUUAUGAGUCUCUCCUCUGCGUAUCUCUAAUGAGGACAUUUAUUGCUAGAUUUAGGGCCCACCUGGAUAAUCCAAGAUGAUCUCAUCCUGGCACCCUUCACUGAAUUAUAUCUGCAGAGUCCUUGUUUUGCAAAUAGGGUCACACUCACAGGUUCUGGGCUUUAGAACAUGAACAUAUCCCUUGUGUUUGGGAAGGGAGCACUAUUCAGCCCUUUCUGGAGGGUUCUUAUGAACAGGUACCUGGCAAUGUCCUCAGAUGCUCAGUGAGGACGCACCUGAGGUUCCAGUCCUGACAGCAAAGGUGACCGCCCUGGACCUCAGUCAGCUCAUCUGCAGAAUGGCUAGGUGAGCUCAAGGGUUUCUUCCUUCUGGCACAUUCCCAGCGCAAAUCCUGUCGGUCCCUCGGCAUCUAUGCUGCUGAUUUGGGUCUACUCCAGGGCUUUACAAAUAUACAUAUCUCUAAGCAUAGAACAUAUAUUUUAUUGUAGUAAAAUACACAUAACAUAAAAUUCACCAUUUUAACCUUUUUGUUUUGUUUUGAGCCAGGGUCUCUCUCUGUCACCCAGGCUGGAGUGCAGUGGCACCAUCACGGCUCACUGCAGCCUCCACCCGCCUCAGCCUCCUGAGUAGUCAGGACCACAGGUAUGCAUCACCACACCCAGCUAACUCUUGUAUUUUUUUUUGUAGAGAUGAAGUCUCAUUAUGUUGCCCAGGCUGGUCUCAAACUCCUGGGCUCAAGCAAUCCACCUGCCUCAGCUUCCCGAAGUGGGAUUACAGGUGUGAGCCACCGUGCCUGGCCCCACUUUAACCAUUUUUAAGUGUGGAAUUCAGUGGCAUUAAGCACACUCAUAUGGUUGUGUAACCAUCACCAUUAUCCAUAUCAUCUUUCACAAAGAUGAAAUAAGAAGACUCAUUCUCAGGCCCCUCGGGCCUCAGAGUGUCCUUCAUGGGUAAAGCAUCUUAUAGAAGAUGCCUCUACUACAGAGCUCACUAUCCUGGUGGAGAUGUGAAGAUCAGGAUGUUAGAAAAGGAGGCAGACAGGACUGAGGAUGGUGGUGAAUCCAAAGCAAUACCCCCGGCUCCUCCUCCUGCAGGAUCUGCCCUGUCUUGUCACCAUGUCUUCUCCUUGCUGUCCACCCGUGUUCUUUUUUCCCCUCUAGACCAGAAGUUCUUAAAGCCUGGUCCCUGGACCAGCAACAUCAGUACCUCCUGGGAGCUUGUUAGAAAAGCAGAUUUUCUGUGCUCACCCCUACCCACUGAAUCAGAAAUGAGGGUGAGGUGUGGUGGCUGUUUCACAGCCCUCCCGGGAUUCUGAUCCAUGCUAAAGAGUGGGAAGCACUGCUCCGGAUCUGCAGAGAAAUCCUGCUUUCAAAGAACUCACUAACGCCCCUACAAAACUACAAUUUUUAUGACUAGAAGCUCUGUGAAUACCUUAAACAAGGAAGCUGACAGAUUUAGUAAGAUCGCGUAGGUCAUGAUCGCAAAUGGGCUGCCCAAGGGCACGUCUUUCCCUUGGGUUUGUGCAUUUGUCCUGCACACAAUUAAAAACAUUUAACUAGUUGCCAGUAUUAAAGAAAUAGAAACUUCCACGUAGAAAUUCAGAUUUUGGCAUUAUUUGAAAUAAUACUGUCUGGCAGUCCUGAUAUGUCUUGGCCUAGGUCCAAGCAUGGGCCACCAUGACUCGAUGCAGGGACUGCCAGGCAGCCCAAGUCCCCCUACGCCCCAAGGCAAGUCCGCCUGGUGAGCCCACCCCCCCAUUUUUAUCUGCACUGACUGCUGUAGGGCUUUCGAGUUGUCAACCUCUGUAUGUGAAGGGGGACCACAAACUGUAGCCCUCUGUGAUUGUUAAUGUUAUAUGUCAGCUUGGCUAGGCCACGGCAUCCAAAUAUUUGGUCAAACACUAGUCUAGAUGUUGUGAAGGUAAUUUCUUUUAGGUGAGAGUAACAGUUAUAUCAGUGGACUUUGAUGAAAGCAGAUUGCCCUCCAUAAUGUGGGUGGGCCUCAUCCAAUCAGUUGAAGGCCUUCAAAGAAAAAAGACUGACUCCCUGCAGGAAGAGGGAGUUCUGCCAGCCUCCACGGUCACAUAAGCCAAUUCCUUAAAAUAAGCCCCUCUCUCUCUCUCUCUCCUCCUCUCUCCACACAUGCAUACAAAACACACACACACACACACACACACACACACACACACACAAAUGGUUCUAUGUCUCUGUAGAAUCCUGACGAACAACCCAUGCUGUGAGUAUUAUUAUUUGUUGGUGACCCUGGACCAUUCAGGCACCAAGAGGUGCAGGAACUCUUCUUCCGUUUGCUGGCAGCUCUUAGGGAUACACGCUCAUUCAAACCAUGCCCUCAGAGAUGGAGGCUGCAAAGCUAAUGAGUAGUAUUAUAAUAUUAAUAACAAGAAAUAAAUAAUCCAUAAAAAUAAUUAUGUUUAUUUAUUUAUUUAUUUAUUUUUGAGAUGGAGUUUUACUCUUGUUGCCCAGGCUGAAGUAAAAUGGUGCAAUCUCGGCUCACUGCAACCUCCGCCUCCCAGGUUCAAGUGAUUCUCCUGCCUCAGACUCCCGAGUAGCUGGGAUUAUAGGCAUGCGCCACCACGCCCGGCUAAUUUUGUAUUUUUAGUAGAGAUGGGAUUUCUCCAUGUUGGUCAGGUUGGUCUCGAAUUGCUGACCUCAGGUGAUCCGCCUGCCUUGGCCUCCCAAAGUGCUGGGAUUAUAGCCAUGAGCCACCGUGCCUGGCCAACAAUGAUGUUUAUUAACAAUAACACUAUUAACAUGUUGAGUGUUUAUUCUAUGCCAGACACCAUGCUAAAUGCUUUCUUUCUUUCUUUUUGAGAUGGAAUCUUGUUCUGUCGCCCAGGCUGGAGUGCAAUGGCGCAAUCUCGGCUCACUGCAAACUCCACCUCCCAGGUUCAAGCGAUUCUCCUGCCUCAGCCUCCUGAGUAGCUAGGAUUACAGGUGCCUGCCACCACGUCCAGCUAUUUUUGUAUUUUUAGUAGAGAUGGGGUUUCACCAUGUUGGCCAGGCUGGUCUCAAACUCCUGACCUUGGGUGAUCCGCCUGCCUUGGCCUCCCAAAAUGCUGGGAUUACAGGCAUGAACC